rnacentral:rRNA from 1 species
UGGACAAUGGAGGCAACUCUGAUCCAGCCAUGCCGCGUGAAGGAAUAAGGCCCUAUGGGUUGUAAACUUCUUUUAGACGGGACAAAACCCCUUUACGUGUAAAGGAUUGAUGGUACUGUCAGAAUAAGCAUCGGCUAACUUCGUGACAGCAGCCGCGGUAAUACGAAGGAUGCAAGCGUUAUCCGGAAUUAUUGGGUCUAAAGGGUGCGUAGGCGUACUAAUAAGUCAGUGGUGAAAGCCUGCAGCUUAACUGCAGAAUUGCCAUUGGUACUGUUAGUCUUGAGUACAGUUGAUGUAGGCGGAAUGUGUCAUGUAGCGGUGAAAUGCUUAGAUGUGACACAGAACACCGAUUGCGAAGGCAGCUUGCUAAGCUGUAACUGACGCUGAGGCACGAAAGCGUGGGGAGCAAACA